rnacentral:rRNA from 1 species
AAUAGUGGCGCACGGGUGCGUAACACGUAUGCAACCUACCUUAUAGACGGGAAUAGCCUUUGGAAACGGAGAUUAAUACCCGAUAGAAUUAUAGACUGGCAUCAGUUAAUAAUUAAAGAUUUAUCGCUAUAAGCUGGGCAUGCGUCCAAUUAGUUAGUUGGUGAGGUAACGGCUCACCAAGACGAUGAUUGGUAGGGGAACUGAGAGGUUAAUCCCCCACACUGGCACUGAGAUACGGGCCAGACUCCUACGGGAGGCAGCAGUAGGGAAUAUUGGGCAAUGGAGGCAACUCUGACCCAGCCAUGCCGCGUGCAGGAUGAAGGCGUUAUGCGUUGUAAACUGCUUUUAUAUAGGAAGAAAUAGACCUUGCGAGGUAAGUUGACGGUACUAUAUGAAUAAGCACCGGCUAACUCCGUGCCAGCAGCCGCGGUAAUACGGAGGGUGCAAGCGUUGUCCGGAUUUAUUGGGUUUAAAGGGUGCGUAGGCGGUUUAUUAAGUCAGUGGUGAAAGACGGUCGCUCAACGAUUGCAGUGCCAUUGAUA